rnacentral:rRNA from 1 species
UACGUAGGGUGCAAGGCGUUGUCCGGAAUUAUUGGGCGUAAAGAGCUCGUAGGCGGUUUGUCGCGUCUGCUGUGAAACCCGAGGCUCAACCUCGGGCCUGCAGUGGGUACGGGACAGACUAGAGUGGCGGUAGGGGAGAUUGGAAUUGCCUGGUGUAGCGGUGGAAUGCGCAGAAUAUCAGGAGGAACACCAAUGGCGAAGGCAGAUCUCUGGGCCGUAACUGACGCUGAGGAGCGAAAGCAUGGGGAGCGAACAGG